CUAGAGGCUGGUCGCUCCGCCCUUGUGCUCCAUCCGCUGAGUCAACUAGAGUUUGGGUUUCGCGGCACCCCUUAAUCUACUCAGAUCGCGGCCUCUGGGCCCAGAUGUACGAGAUCCUCAAUGAUCUGUGUCAAAGAUAACCCAACUUCAACUGCAUGAAAACACCAUGAACCUUCAACCACUGAACCACCUGCAUUAAUUUCUAGAGGCCCUGGUUGGAAACUCAGGCCAAUUCUAAACUCUGACAGAUCUCACAUGCCUCCUGUUUCUCCCAGGCAGCUUCUCUCACAUCACAGGGACCUGACAUGGGGAUAUCUUCUCUCAAAUGUCCGUAAUUCACUGCAGCGUCCUACCAGCACUUCACCCACGAGCAGCCCCAUGAUGCAGAUACGGUCAUUACUGUUCAAGUCUGAAAGGGACCAAUAUGAAAGUCAAGUGUUUCCAUUUUCUACCCAGAAGAGAAUAUAUUGUAUAUAACACAGUCUUUAAAUAUAUCUCGAUUACAA